rnacentral:rRNA from 1 species
AGGUGAACCUGCGGAAGGAUCAUAGUUGUCAGAUCAAGGGAGCGCAGGUCGCUCCCGUUCACAACCUAUUUUUAUGGACCGGUGGUGCUCGCUUCUUGGCGUCCCACCGAUCAGCCAUGCGUAUCUUGGUCAUUGUCUAGACACUUCUCAGUUGAAAAUACACAACUGGUAGCAUUGGAUCCCUUGGCAUGCCAUUCGAUGAAGACCGUAGCAAAUUGCGAUAAGUGGUGUGAUAUGCGAGUCCAAAACUUAUACGUGAACCAUCGAAUUGUUGAACGCAUCGCAUCGAGCUUUGCCCAAGCACGAUAUGCCCCAUUGAGCGUCAUUAUGUCUUUGAAUAAAGGUUUCCCUUUUUCAAGUUCGGGAUUCAUGGCCUCUUGUGCCACGCUUCCUUGGAUGCAUUCGCAUCGCGUGCACGUUGCGCUCCUUGUUGUGAACUUCAAGGUGCUGCUUCGAGUCGCGCAUGCAUUGCUUGGCCCUAUACGGUUGCCAAUCGAAACUGUGCAGCGUCCCCACGCUCACCUCUCUUGACAUGACCUCACGGGGGCAAGACAACCCGCUAGACUUAAGCAUAUUAAUCAG